GCAAGUCGAACGAACUCUUCGGAGUUAGUGGCGCACGGGUGCGGAACACGUGGGAAUGUACCCCUAGGUAAGGAAUAACUGCUGGAAACGGUAGCUAAUACCUUAUAAUAUCUUCGGAUCAAAGAUUUAUCGCCUAGGGAUCAGCCCGCGUCUGAUUAGUUUGUUGGUGAGGUAAUGGCUCACCAAGACUACGAUCAGUAGGGGGUCUGAGAGGAUGAUC
rnacentral:rRNA from 1 species